CAGGCCUCACACAUGCAAGUCUCACGCCCCCGCAAGGGGGCAUGGCAUCCGGGUGCGUCACACGUGGGCACAUCCCCUUCGGUUCGGCACAACGCCGGGAAACUGGCGCUAAUCCCGGAUCCGCCCUUUGGGGGCAAGGCUUGCCGCCGAAGGCGUGGCCCGCGUUCGAUUAGCUUGAUGGCGGGGUCACGGCCCACCAUGGCGCCUCUCGAUAGCUGGUCUGAUCGGAUGGCCAGCCACAUUGGGACUGAGCCACGGCCCAAACUCCUACGGGAGGCAGCAGUGGGAAUAUUGGACAAUGGGCGCAAGCCUGAUCCAGCCAUGCCGCGUGAGUGAUGACGGCCUUAGGGUUGUAAAGCUCUUUCGCACGCGACGAUAAUGAUGGUAGCGUGAGAAGAAGCCCCGGCUAACUUCGUGCCAGCAGCCGCGGUAAU
rnacentral:rRNA from 1 species